CGGUCCGCAGUUCACCUAGGCAUCGCCGCCCUCUGGGCAAGCUAAACCUGCUU
rfam:Ochrobactrum intermedium 229E Contig60, whole genome shotgun sequence.